rnacentral:rRNA from 1 species
GAUGAACGCUGGCGGCGUGCCUAAUACAUGCAAGUCGAGCGAACAGAUGAGGAGCUUGCUCCUCUGACGUUAGCGGCGGACGGGUGAGUAACACGUGGAUAACCUACCUAUAAGACUGGGAUAACUUCGGGAAACCGGAGCUAAUACCGGAUAAUAUAUUGAACCGCAUGGUUCAAUAGUGAAAGACGGUUUUGCUGUCACUUAUAGAUGGAUCCGCGCCGCAUUAGCUAGUUGGUAAGGUAACGGCUUACCAAGGCAACGAUGCGUAGCCGACCUGAGAGGGUGAACGGGCACACUGGAACUGAGACACGGUCCAGACUCCUACGGGAGGCAGCAGUAGGGAAUCUUCCGCAAUGGGCGAAAGCCUGACGGAGCAACGCCGCGUGAGUGAUGAAGGUCUUCGGAUCGUAAAACUCUGUUAUUAGGGAAGAACAAAUGUGUAAGUAACUAUGCACGUCUUGACGGUACCUAAUCAGAAAGCCACGGCUAACUACGUG